GUUAAGCGACUAAGCGUACACGGUGGAUGCCCUGGCAGUCAGAGGCGAUGAAGGACGUGCUAAUCUGCGAUAAGCGUCGGUAAGGUGAUAUGAACCGUUAUAACCGGCGAUUUCCGAAUGGGGAAACCCAGUGUGAUUCGUCACACUAUCAUUAACUGAAUCCAUAGGUUAAUGAGGCGAACCGGGGGAACUGAAACAUCUAAGUACCCCGAGGAAAAGAAAUCAACCGAGAUUCCCCCAGUAGCGGCGAGCGAACGGGGAGAAGCCCAGAGCCUGAAUCAGUGUGUGUGUUAGUGGAAGCGUCUGGAAAGGCGCGCGAUACAGGGUGACAGCCCCGUACACAAAAAUGCACAUAUUGUGAGCUCGAUGAGUAGGGCGGGACACGUGGUAUCCUGUCUGAAUAUGGGGGGACCAUCCUCCAAGGCUAAAUACUCCUGACUGACCGAUAGUGAACCAGUACCGUGAGGGAAAGGCGAAAAGAACCCCGGCGAGGGGAGUGAAAAAGAACCUGAAACCGUGUACGUACAAGCAGUGGGAGCCUCUUUAUGGGGUGACUGCGUACCUUUUGUAUAAUGGGUCAGCGACUUAUAUUCUGUAGCAAGGUUAACCGAAUAGGGGAGCCGAAGGGAAACCGAGUCUUAACUGGGCGUUAAGUUGCAGGGUAUAGACCCGAAACCCGGUGAUCUAGCCAUGGGCAGGUUGAAGGUUGGGUAACACUAACUGGAGGACCGAACCGACUAAUGUUGAAAAAUUAGCGGAUGACUUGUGGCUGGGGGUGAAAGGCCAAUCAAACCGGGAGAUAGCUGGUUCUCCCCGAAAGCUAUUUAGGUAGCGCCUCGUGAAUUCAUCUCCGGGGGUAGAGCACUGUUUCGGCAAGGGGGUCAUCCCGACUUACCAACCCGAUGCAAACUGCGAAUACCGGAGAAUGUUAUCACGGGAGACACACGGCGGGUGCUAACGUCCGUCGUGAAGAGGGAAACAACCCAGACCGCCAGCUAAGGUCCCAAAGUCAUGGUUAAGUGGGAAACGAUGUGGGAAGGCCCAGACAGCCAGGAUGUUGGCUUAGAAGCAGCCAUCAUUUAAAGAAAGCGUAAUAGCUCACUGGUCGAGUCGGCCUGCGCGGAAGAUGUAACGGGGCUAAACCAUGCACCGAAGCUGCGGCAGCGACGCUUAUGCGUUGUUGGGUAGGGGAGCGUUCUGUAAGCCUGUGAAGGUGUGCUGUGAGGCAUGCUGGAGGUAUCAGAAGUGCGAAUGCUGACAUAAGUAACGAUAAAGCGGGUGAAAAGCCCGCUCGCCGGAAGACCAAGGGUUCCUGUCCAACGUUAAUCGGGGCAGGGUGAGUCGACCCCUAAGGCGAGGCCGAAAGGCGUAGUCGAUGGGAAACAGGUUAAUAUUCCUGUACUUGGUGUUACUGCGAAGGGGGGACGGAGAAGGCUAUGUUGGCCGGGCGACGGUUGUCCCGGUUUAAGCGUGUAGGCUGGUUUUCCAGGCAAAUCCGGAAAAUCAAGGCUGAGGCGUGAUGACGAGGCACUACGGUGCUGAAGUGACAAAUGCCCUGCUUCCAGGAAAAGCCUCUAAGCAUCAGGUAACAACAAAUCGUACCCCAAACCGACACAGGUGGUCAGGUAGAGAAUACCAAGGCGCUUGAGAGAACUCGGGUGAAGGAACUAGGCAAAAUGGUGCCGUAACUUCGGGAGAAGGCACGCUGAUAUGUAGGUGAAGCGACUUGCUCGUGGAGCUGAAAUCAGUCGAAGAUACCAGCUGGCUGCAACUGUUUAUUAAAAACACAGCACUGUGCAAACACGAAAGUGGACGUAUACGGUGUGACGCCUGCCCGGUGCCGGAAGGUUAAUUGAUGGGGUUAGCGGUAACGCGAAGCUCUUGAUCGAAGCCCCGGUAAACGGCGGCCGUAACUAUAACGGUCCUAAGGUAGCGAAAUUCCUUGUCGGGUAAGUUCCGACCUGCACGAAUGGCGUAAUGAUGGCCAGGCUGUCUCCACCCGAGACUCAGUGAAAUUGAACUCGCUGUGAAGAUGCAGUGUACCCGCGGCAAGACGGAAAGACCCCGUGAACCUUUACUAUAGCUUGACACUGAACAUUGAGCCUUGAUGUGUAGGAUAGGUGGGAGGCUUUGAAGUGUGGACGCCAGUCUGCAUGGAGCCGACCUUGAAAUACCACCCUUUAAUGUUUGAUGUUCUAACGUGGACCCGUGAUCCGGGUUGCGGACAGUGUCUGGUGGGUAGUUUGACUGGGGCGGUCUCCUCCUAAAGAGUAACGGAGGAGCACGAAGGUUGGCUAAUCCUGGUCGGACAUCAGGAGGUUAGUGCAAUGGCAUAAGCCAGCUUGACUGCGAGCGUGACGGCGCGAGCAGGUGCGAAAGCAGGUCAUAGUGAUCCGGUGGUUCUGAAUGGAAGGGCCAUCGCUCAACGGAUAAAAGGUACUCCGGGGAUAACAGGCUGAUACCGCCCAAGAGUUCAUAUCGACGGCGGUGUUUGGCACCUCGAUGUCGGCUCAUCACAUCCUGGGGCUGAAGUAGGUCCCAAGGGUAUGGCUGUUCGCCAUUUAAAGUGGUACGCGAGCUGGGUUUAGAACGUCGUGAGACAGUUCGGUCCCUAUCUGCCGUGGGCGCUGGAGAAUUGAGGGGGGCUGCUCCUAGUACGAGAGGACCGGAGUGGACGCAUCACUGGUGUUCGGGUUGUCAUGCCAAUGGCACUGCCCGGUAGCUAAAUGCGGAAGAGAUAAGUGCUGAAAGCAUCUAAGCACGAAACUUGCCCCGAGAUGAGUUCUCCCUGACCCUUUAAGGGUCCUGAAGGAACGUUGAAGACGACGACGUUGAUAGGCCGGGUGUGUAAGCGCAGCGAUGCGUUGAGCUAACCGGUACUAAUGAACCGUGAGGCUUAACC
rnacentral:rRNA from 1 species